ensembl:lncRNA
UAGACUGAACAAUCCCAGCUCCUUCAGCCGCUCCUCAUAAGGCCUAUGCUUCAGACCAUAUAUGAUCAGAAUCAACAGCCCCUGAAUCUGUAGUGUUACCAGUACUUUAAUAAAUGAUCUUUCCUGACAAGGUUGUCUGGAUGUGCCAAAACCAAGGUGACAAAGAGUAUUCUCAUGCUUUGGCCUUGUAAGUCAGUAGCUGGGGCUUGCAGUGUCCAGAAGGAAGUAUAAAGCUAACCAGCACAGCUCACCUACCACGCAGCCCAUCUUCUUCCCCUGCCGUCCUUCACUAACGCUUUCACACUUACUCACCUCAUCCAAAAUUACAAACCUGUCACUAGUGAGCUAUCAGGCUGGUUACUGUUUGUGUUGUGUUCACUUUAUCAGAAAAACAAAUCAAAUCUAACAAAAGAGCUGUAUCCUAACACUUUCUCUUCUCCUUGCUUAUACAGAAGCAUAGCCCGGUUUUGGGCCCUUACGCUUCCUAUCAAAUGAUCUCAACGUUUUACGUUGCAGUCUCUAUAUAAGAGCCAGAACAUGUCCUGCCCCUCAUUCAGUACAAGGUAGAAGGCCUUGUUUAAUUAAUCCUACUCUCAUUUUCAAGCCACACCAGCAGCUUUCCUAGAAGUUACCCAUGUUAGCCUGCUAACGUGUGAUGUUUGGAAAGCUUCCAUGGGCGUUCAUAACUGAUCCUUUAAUAUGCAGCAAGCAUCCUACUAGCAAGGCAAGAAGAUCCUGAUAAGGAUGAAUCAAGAUCUGUGAGUCUCGUCUCUUUGAUGCCAGCGUAUCUCAUUGUGAACAGCCUAAACCAAACCUGCUGGAAAGGCACAGACACAUUCCAUUGCAACAUCCUCUCAAGAGCAAGGGGAUGUUAUCCUGUGCUACCGUGACCACCAGCAUUUGGGGAGAUGGAAGCUGCAUUUAAGGAUUCUGCCAGGCAAAAGAGAGAAGUGACCCUGGACCCUUCAGUUCAUAGAGAGCUGGUUGGCACUUACUUUGGUUGGCCCAAAGGAAAUACAAUCAAGUGUGUGUGAAAGAGCAAGCACUGGGUCACAGCUCCGAGAGCAGCAGUAAGAAGCACUCUUUCUCUGCAAAGCAAGGGGCUUAUGGGCAAAAUACAGCCAUUCUCAGACAGCUCAAUGAAACACACACAACCUGAACAAAAACAGCAGCACCAUGACUUUUCCUUGUCACAGCUCAAAGGAGGAAGCAACUGCAUCUGCUACCCAGACUGCACGCUGCUAUUUCCAGGUGUGUUUUCCCCCUGCCAAACCUGCAGCAUAGGAAGCAAGCCCUGCCUGUUGCGUGGCUGGCUAAUCUCCUAUCACUCAUUCUUCCAUUCAGCAAUGUAGCAUUGUGUGUUCUGUGUUUGGUAUUGCUGAAAUAAAGAGCAUAAC